AAAGGAUAAACAUUAACUUUAGAAAGAAACAUGGUUUAAACCAAGGCGAAGCCAAAGUUACUGCUGGACGUAAAACUUUAAAAAAGAAUGACAGAAGUACUAAAAAGGGGGUGUUAGCUACUUUAAGGAAUGGAAACCUACUAAAAUAUGCUUUGAUCAUAAGCUGCCCGUCGGUUGCAAUUAUAUUAGUCUUUAAUGUACUGGCGGUGUAUUAUUGUAAGAGAAAAAGAAUGGUAGUGGAAAAGC